CAAUAGCGUAUAUUAAAGUUGUUGCAGUUAAAAAGCUCGUAGUUGGAUUUCUGCCGAGGACGACCGGUCCGCCCUCUGGGUGAGUAUCUGGCUCGGCCUGGGCAUCUUCUUGGAGAACGUAUCUGCACUUGACUGUGUGGUGCGGUAUUCAGGACUUUUACUUUGAGGAAAUUAGAGUGUUUCAAGCAGGCAUACGCCUUGAAUACAUUAGCAUGGAAUAAUAAGAUAGGACCUCGGUUCUAUUUUGUUGGUUUCUAGAUCUGAGGUAAUGAUUAAAAGGGGCAGUCAGGGGCACUCGUAUUCCGUCGAGAGAGGUGAAAUUCUCAGACCAAUGGAAGACGAACCACUGCGAAAGCAUUUGCCAGGGAUGUUUUCACUGAUCAAGAACGAAAGUUAGGGGAUCGAAGAUGAUUAGAUACCAU
rnacentral:rRNA from 1 species